GACGAACGCUGGCGGCGUGCUUAACACAUGCAAGUCGAACGAAGAGCGAUGGAAGCUUGCUUCUUUCAAUCUUAGUGGCGAACGGGGGAGUAACGCGCAAUCAACCCGCCCUUCAGAGGGGGACAACAGUUGGAAACGACUGCUAAUACCGCAUACGAUCCAAUCUCGGCAUGGGGACGGGCUUAAAGGUGGCCUCGAUUUAUAGGCUAUCAGUGAAGGUGGGGAGUGGGGCGGAUUAGCGAGUUGGAGGGGUAAGGGCCCUCCCAGGCGAUGGUCCGUAGCCGGGCUGGGAGGAUGAACGGCCACAUUGGGACUGAGACACGGCCCAGACUCCUACGGGAGGCAGCAGGGGGGAAUCUUCCGCAAAGGACGACAGUCUGACGGAGCAACGCCGCGUGAGGGAUGACGGCCUUCGGGUUGUAAAGCUCUGUUAAUCGGGACGAAUGGUCCUUGUGCGAAUAGUGCGAGGAUUUGACGGUACCGGAAUAGAAAGCCACGGCUAACUACGUG
rnacentral:rRNA from 1 species